rnacentral:rRNA from 1 species
AUUGAACGCUGGCGGCAGGCUUAACACAUGCAAGUCGAGCGGGGUGAUGGUGCUUGCACUAUCACUUAGCGGCGGACGGGUGAGUAAUGCUUAGGAAUCUGCCUAUUAGUGGGGGACAACAUCUCGAAAGGGAUGCUAAUACCGCAUACGUCCUACGAGAGAAAGCAGGGGAUCACUUGUGACCUUGCGCUAAUAGAUGAGCCUAAGUCGGAUUAGCUAGUUGGUGGGGUAAAGGCCUACCAAGGCGACGAUCUGUAGCGGGUCUGAGAGGAUGAUCCGCCACACUGGGACUGAGACAUGGCCCAGACUCCUACGGGAGGCAGCAGUGGGGAAUAUUGGACAAUGGGGGGAACCCUGAUCCAGCCAUGCCGCGUGUGUGAAGAAGGCCUUAUGGUUGUAAAGCACUUUAAGCGAGGAGGAGGCUCUUUUGGUUAAUACCCAAGAUGAGUGGACGUUACUCGCACAAUAAGCACCGGCUAACUCUGUGCCAGCCGCCGCAGUAA